AGUAAUGCUUAGGAAUCUGCCUAUUAGUGGGGGACAACAUUCCGAAAGGAAUGCUAAUACCGCAUACGCCCUACGGGGGAAAGCAGGGGAUCUUCGGACCUUGCGCUAAUAGAUGAGCCUAAGUCAGAUUAGCUAGUUGGUGGGGUAAAGGCCUACCAAGGCGACGAUCUGUAGCGGGUCUGAGAGGAUGAUCCGCCACACUGGGACUGAGACACGGCCCAGACUCCUACGGGAGGCAGCAGUGGGGAAUAUUGGACAAUGGGCGAAAGCCUGAUCCAGCCAUGCCGCGUGUGUGAAGAAGGCCUUUUGGUUGUAAAGCACUUUAAGCGAGGAGGAGGCUACUGGGAUUAAUACUCUAGGAUAGUGGACGUUACUCGCAGAAUAAGCACCGGCUAACUCUGUGCCAGCAGCCGCGGUAAUACAGAGGGUGCGAGCGUUAAUCGGAUUUACUGGGCGUAAAGCGUGCGUAGGCGGCUUUUUAAGUCGGAUGUGAAAUCCCUGAGCUUAACUUAGGAAUUGCAUUCGAUACUGGGAAGCUAGAGUAUGGGAGAGGAUGGUAGAAU
rnacentral:rRNA from 1 species